CUAUUAUGUGCAGCAAUAUUACAGGCUCGUGGGCCAUAAUUACUGCUUUGUUGAGUAAGGGACCAAUAUUUGUUAAGUACUACCUCGCUAAGUUUAUCGCCUUCCUUAAAAUUACUAGAGAAAAAGUGGGGCACACAAACCGCUCUGAUUCGUUGCUAUUCUUAAGCUCUUCUUUAUCUGCACUUUAUAGUUUUGUAUU